UACGUAGGGUGCGAGCGUUGUCCGGAAUUAUUGGGCGUAAAGAGCUCGUAGGCGGUCUGUCGCGUCGAAUGUGAAAACCGGAGGCUCAACCUCCGGCCUGCAGUGGGUACGGGCAGACUAGAGUGCGGUAGGGGAGAUUGGAAUUCCUGGUGUAGCGGUGGAAUGCGCAGAUAUCAGGAGGAACACCGAUGGCGAAGGCAGAUCUCUGGGCCGUAACUGACGCUGAGGAGCGAAAGCGUGGGGAGCGAACAGG
rnacentral:rRNA from 1 species